CGUUUAAUAUUAUGUAAUUGUGCUUGCAUCUCAGGGCGAUAUAUUUGCAAUGAUAUCACCGACCAUAUAAAAUAAAGCAACAUUGUGAAGAUCACAGUGAUCUUAAAGGAAUAGUUCAUCCACAAUUCUGUCCUCAUUUACUCACCCUUAUGUCAUCUUUCUACUGCGCUACACAAAAGGAAAUAUUUUAAAGAAUGUUGCGAUUCCUGAUUUCCAUACAAUGACAGUGGCUUGUGACCCACUUUAAAGCUUAAAAAAGUAUCUAAAGGUGUAAUAAAGUGGUCCAUGUGACUUGUACGUCAUAUUCUAUGUCUUCUGAAGGCAUACUAUAGGUUGAAAUGUAAGUUAUUUUACAGUGAAAAUUUUGACUUCCGUAAUAGUACUCCUUUUGACCUUAAUGAGUGAAGCUCUUUCACAAUGACUCGAGCUUAAACCUUGCAAAAGCAAAAACAGCGCAAGUUCGUGCGUGAACGGAGCCAUUGUGAAUGAGCUUCUCUCAAAAGUCUGAUUCAUCACCACCAGUUGGUUCUUUAGAAAUGUCUGUUUUAGUUAAUCGAUUCCAAAUACAGCAAUUUAGCACCUGAUUCAGCACUCAAAUGCUCAAAAAGGUCCCUGAGGGACAAUACAGAUGUAAAAAUGUUUUAUAUAUUUUGUUAUAAAUGUUGUUGUUUAUUCCUAAGUGUUAUGUUGAUAGUGGGCGAUUCCAGCCUCGCUGUCCUUUUCUGCAUAUCGCGGCACCGUUUUGUAGGCCGUUCUGCGUAACGCGGUGGCGCAUUUCAGCUUAUCGUGGCCCAUUCUCUGCACCAGAACAAUGUAGAGAUUCUGGUUUCAUUUAUUUGACUCAGGGAAGCAAGGAGCCUUUUGAGUAUCACCUUGCUAACUGCCUAGUAAUCAGAUGGGGUUACCCUAGCAACCAAGUAACAAAUCACAUAUCUCUGCACCAGAACAUCGUAGAGAUUUCCGGUUUCGUUCAUUUGACUCAGGGUAGCAAGGAGCCUUUUGAGUAUCACCUUGCUAACUGCCUAGCAACUGGAUGGGGUUACAGCCACAGUCCACUUCAGUGCGCAGUCCUCCACAGCUCCCACACAGCCAGAGUUGGUGCUGGAUUCAACUGCUGUUGUUCUCCUGUUGGUUUUUUAAAGGAUGGCAACACAAAGCCCCUACAGUUGCCCGGCACCAAUUCGCUGCAAGUGUGUAGCAAAUAGAACCACACAAAAGUAGAAGCUUUUCAAAUAAAAAGUGUAAGUGCCCUAAGCGAUGGUACAAAUGUUUAUAUCACAACAAAAAAUGACAGAGAGCCCGAAUUUAAGGAAGGGGCCACCUACUUCCUUAAAAAUAUCACCCUUAGGACAUGCUAUGGCCACCAGAAUUUGUAUUUUGGCCGCACUUCCACAAAAUUCAGGGCAGCACCAAUCACCCUUACUGAAAGUGUGGAAAAGGCUGCAAAGGAGGCCAUUUGUCCACCAUCUCUUUGUGUCACAGGAGAGGAGGAAGACAUAUUCGCCAGGGGUGACUGUUUGACUCUACAAGGGCAAGUAGAAAAAAUACAACCAGUGAGGAUGACAUACGUCCAGGGCAGCCCUUGUUCCCAUCCUGGACCUCUCCUUGAGAUGUGGCCAAAAGCUGCUGGAGAUUUCCCUCUGGAGGGAUGAGGCUUUGUGUGAGCGCUACCUCUACACUAGUUUUCCUUCUGGAAAACGGAAGAGGAAAAUUAAAUUCCUCAAGCUUCUCAACUGUGAAGACUGCUGAAAGGAAGGUGGAGACAGAAGCUGUGGAGAUUGUUGGCGUCUCCGAAGAAGAUGGCAGCCUCACUCUCCUCUGCAGCACCUUCGAGGAAUUCACUGUCCCGGCCACCCUCUACCAGGGCAGUGUGGACAGCUUGAUCGAGCAACUGCCAACAAAAAUACAAAUUAAACGCAUAGACAAACGUGUGCUCGACAUAUAAAUAAAUGUUUAUAAUUUGUAGUAGUAGUUCAGUUAGUUUAUUAAUUGGUAGUUUACAUUUAAUGUUCAUUUUCUGUUCAUGUUUUGAAAUUGUUCUUAUUCUUUUGUUGUGUUUGUUUAAUGUUGGAGCAUGUAAAUGUAUUUGUUUCUAUACGUUUUAAAUUUAUAAAUGAUUUGUAUUCAAAAAGUUAGUCUGAUGUUUUUACACACAUAUACAUUUAAAAGUUACCUCAGUAAUUAGUCAUGUCCAACUGUGGAGCACAUGCGCAUAUUAGUACCAACUUCCUUAACCUUUCAAAGAGGAAGAAACGAAAGCCUUCGUUUAUGUUCUGUAUAUUUUUCAUAAUCAAGAUUCAUAAGUAUUCUGUGUAUUUUUCUCUUACCCUCAGGGGGGCAACAGAACAUUACCACUGUGUUAACAUACUAUGCUGUAGUGUACUUACCUGUGACUGUAAUUUUCCUCUAGGAAGUGAGGAUGACAAAGGCCCAAGGUAACCAGGUUCCCUGAGAUGUACAAGUAGGUAUCUCUGCAGAACGCUAGCGGGUGUUCCACAAUCAUCUGGGCAUUGUUAAACCACAAUGGGUGGUUUUCAACCACUUUACCCGAUUUCUCUAACACACUGGGGUGGGCCUUUAUGAUUUAAGGAAGUCAGGUAAAGUGGUUGACAAAUGCCCACUGAUUGGGAAACGGCCUUUUUGUUCUGCAGAGAUACCUACUGGAGAUUUCCCGUUAGAGGGAUGAGGCUUUGGGUGACUUUAUAGAGCAGAUAUGAACGACUCUGAAAAUACAACAUCUUUACUUCUAUUGACACAUAUCGGUUACCGAUGCCACUGCAAUAUAUUAGCAGAAAAUUAAUAAACGUGAUCUCAACUGCUUUUUUUAAAACACUGAUAAAAGUGAUAAAACUGACAAUAAAUUAUAUGACUGGAGUCAUCAUUUCACGUGACUGGACAUACUAUUUUUUUUAUUUAUUUUUUAAAGUACUAAUUCCUUUAAACC